rnacentral:lncRNA from 1 species
UCUACAUGUAAACUACGAUUAUACUACUUUAAUAUAUAGAGACUCUCUGUAUUCUGUCAGGGACUUUCUAUGUUAGUAUAGAAAGUCCCUGAUUCUGUCUACUGUUUUCUUUGAAAUGUUUACUAUUUAAGGGGUCAUACCACUUGCAAAAAUAAGUAAAACAUGCUCAACUUCAUCUAAAACUACCUCGACCAAAAAAUUUAACUUGAAGCGGGACAGACGGACGGACGACCGAACGAACGAACGCACGGAUGCACAGACUAUAAAACACAAUGUCCAUAAAUGGGACAUACAAAUUUAUUGUUGAAAGGGAAAAUAGUGAUUUAGCAAAAAUGAAAGUAAGGUAGAGAUUAGAGGAAGGCAGGACUUUUUUGGGGGCGUCGGGAUCGGUUGUUUUUAAGCUCCUGAUUUUGUUCACAAGCU